AUUGAACGCUGGCGGCAGGCCUAACACAUGCAAGUCGAGCGGAGCGGCGGACGGGUGAGUAACACGUGGGUGACCUGCACUGCACUUCGGGAUAAGCCUGGGAAAAUGGGUCUAAUACCGGAUAGUGUGGGAUGGGCCCGCGGCCUAUCCGCUGGUUGGUGGGGGCAGGGCCUACCAAGGCGGCGACGGGUAGCCGGCCUGAGCGGGUGGACGGACACAUGGGGCCGGAGACACGGCCCAGACGCCGACGGGAGGCAGCAGUGGGGAAUAUUGCACAAUGGGCGGAAGCCGGAUGCAGCGACGCCGCGUGGGGGAUGACGGCCUUCGGGUUGUAAACUCCUUUCACCAUCGACGCGGUAGAUGGAGAAUAAGCACCGGCUAACUACGUGCCAGCCGCCGCGGUAAUAC
rnacentral:rRNA from 1 species